CGACUGAUGUCCUUGUGAUUUCUUGCAAUUGUGCCGUGAGUGCCACGUUUUUGUCUAUCUAUCUAUAUAUAUAUAUAUAUAUAUAUAUAUAUAUAUGUGGAAGCCCUCACUCACUGACUGACUUAUCACUGAUUCUCUCACUCCCCGAUACAUUAGGAAGAUGAAAUGUAACACAGAUUUUCUUCAGGUGGGAAAUAGGAAAACUACAUAAUUACAAUUCUAAUAAACCUCCCAUAAGGGGAUGAAAAGGGGGUGACAUAAUGACGUCAUUACCGAUGCGUGGCUUGUGCUGCGUUAACGAUAACGCCCAAACGGACAAUCGGAUCACAAUUUGGAUCGCACCUCCAGUGUGGAGAAUAUAAUAAACUACAGAAAUGUUCCUGUCACUUCUUAUCGUAUCUGCUGCGGUUUCUCCUCGGGUAACGCCAAGAACCAGGGAUUCAUAUUUACUUACAUUAACACGUCUCACAUUUACAUCUCUAUAGAUUUACCUGAUUAUUAUCACUCAUUUAUAUUUACAUCCGUGACAAUCAGAAACUCCCGUGCGAAGAACAGGAAGAACAGCGAGUAUAUACAGGUUGAGUAUCCCUUAUCCAAAAUGCUUGGGACCAGAGGUAUUUUGGAUAUGGGAUUUUUCCGUAUUUUGGAAUAAUUGCAUACCAUAAUGAGAUAUCAUGGUGAUGGGACCUAAAUCUAAGCACAGAAUGCAUUUAUGUUACAUAUACACCUUAUACACACAGCCUGAAGGUCAUUCUAUACUAUAUUUAUGUUCCAUAUACACCUUAUACACACAGCCUGGAGGUCAUUCUAUACUAUAUUUAUGUUCCAUAUACACCUUAUACACACAGCCUGGAGGUCAUUCUAUACUAUAUUUAUGUUCCAUAUACACCUUAUACACACAGCCUGGAGGUCAUUCUAUACUAUAUUUAUGUUCCAUAUACACCUUAUACACACAGCCUGGAGGUCAUUCUAUACUAUAUUUAUGUUCCAUAUACACCUUAUACACACAGCCUGGAGGUCAUUCUAUACUAUAUUUAUGUUCCAUAUACACCUUAUACACACAGCCUGGAGGUCAUUCUAUACUAUAUUUAUGUUCCAUAUACACCUUAUACACACAGCCUGGAGGUCAUUCUAUACUAUAUUUAUGUUCCAUAUACACCUUAUACACACAGCCUGGAGGUCAUUCUAUACUAUAUUUAUGUUCCAUAUACACCUUAUACACACAGCCUGGAGGUCAUUCUAUACUAUAUUUAUGUUCCAUAUACACCUUAUACACACAGCCUGGAGGUCAUUCUAUACUAUAUUUAUGUUCCAUAUACACCUUAUACACACAGCCUGGAGGUCAUUCUAUACUAUAUUUAUGUUCCAUAUACACCUUAUACACACAGCCUGGAGGUCAUUCUAUACUAUAUUUAUGUUCCAUAUACACCUUAUACACACAGCCUGGAGGUCAUUCUAUACUAUAUUUAUGUUCCAUAUACACCUUAUACACACAGCCUGGAGGUCAUUCUAUACUAUAUUUAUGUUCCAUAUACACCUUAUACACACAGCCUGGAGGUCAUUCUAUACUAUAUUUAUGUUCCAUAUACAACUUAUACACAGCCUGGAGGUCAUUCUAUACUAUAUUUAUGUUCCAUAUACACCUUAUACACAGCCUGGAGGUCAUUCUAUACUAUAUUUAUGUUCCAUAUACACCUUAUACACAGCCUGGAGGUCAUUCUAUACUAUAUUUAUGUUCCAUAUACACCUUAUACACAGCCUGAAGGUCUUUCUAUACUAUAUUUAUGUUCCAUAUACACCUUAUACACAGCCUGAAGGUCAUUCUAUACUAUAUUUAUGUUCCAUAUACACCUUAUACACAGCCUGAAGGUCAUUCUAUACUAUAUUUAUGUUCCAUAUACACCUUAUACACAGCCUGAAGGUCAUUCUAUACUAUAUUUAUGUGUCAUAUACACCUUAUACACAGCCUGAAGGUCAUUCUAUACUAUAUUUAUGUUCCAUAUACACCUUAUACACAGCCUGGAGGUCAUUCUAUACUAUAUUUAUGUUCCAUAUACACCUUAUACACAGCCUGGAGGUCAUUCUAUACUAUAUUUAUGUGUCAUAUACACCUUAUACACAGCCUGGAGGUCAUUCUAUACUAUAUUUAUGUUCCAUAUACACCUUAUACACAGCCUGGAGGUCAUUCUAUACUAUAUUUAUGUUCCAUAUACACCUUAUACACAGCCUGGAGGUCAUUUUAUACUAUAUUUAUGUUCCAUAUACACCUUAUACACAGCCUGGAGGUCAUUCUAUACUAUAUUUAUGUUACAUAUACACCUUAUACACACAGCCUGGAGGUCAUUCUAUACUAUAUUUAUGUUCCAUAUACACCUUAUACACACAGCCUGGAGGUCAUUCUAUACUAUAUUUAUGUUCCAUAUACACCUUAUACACACAGCCUGGAGGUCAUUCUAUACUAUAUUUAUGUUCCAUAUACACCUUAUACACACAGCCUGGA